GAGUUUGAUCUUGGCUCAGAUUGAACGCUGGCGGCAUGCCUUACACAUGCAAGUCGAACGGCAGCAUGAUCUAGCUUGCUAGAUUGAUGGCGAGUGGCGAACGGGUGAGUAAUACAUCGGAACGUGCCCUGUAGUGGGGGAUAACUAGUCGAAAGAUUAGCUAAUACCGCAUACGACCUGAGGGUGAAAGUGGGGGACCGCAAGGCCUCAUGCUAUAGGAGCGGCGAUGUCUGAUUAGCUAGUUGGUGGGUAAAGGCCCACCAAGGCGACGAUCAGUAGCUGGUCUGGGAGGACGAUCAGCCACACUGGGACUGAGACACGGCCCAGACUCCUACGGAGGCAGCAGUGGGAAUUUGGACAAUGGCGAAAGCCUGAUCCAGCAAUGCCGCGUGUGUGAAG
rnacentral:rRNA from 1 species